rnacentral:misc_RNA from 1 species
CAAACCCACUCAUAAAUAUUAUGGUAUUGAUGGAAGUGAACGGAACCAAUCUAUGUGUUCAGGUCAUCCCAUCGAAAUGUAUAAGCAGGACAAUCAACCUGUGCAAUAGACUUAGUAACUGUCUUGAAGACAUAAACCAGUUUGUUGCUUGGUUUUGACUUAGCUUCCAUGGACCUCCAUCCAAGAUAAUAAACUCUG